AAGUCGUAACAAGGUUUCCGUAGGUGAACCUGCGGAAGGAUCAUUAUCGUGAAUCCACACGUAUUUACUUUUUGUGAAUCGUCUAAAUUGUUGUUUGUUUUUUUGUUUGGAUGGGAUGGAUCAUUCUUUUCAAACAAACAAACAAACACAACCACAUUAAAACUAUUAACCACUUGUAACCUUUUAAUUGUACUGAACAAAAAUAACUUCGUUUUUUGGUCUGUCUUCGGAUAGAACAAGACAAGUUUAUGAUACGAAAUUGCUGAACUACUCUUAGCAACGGAUAUCUUGGUUCUC
rnacentral:misc_RNA from 1 species